GAGUUUUGAUCAUGGCUCAGGAUGAACGCUAGCUACAGGCUUUAACACAUGCAAGUCGAGGGGCAUCAGUUUUGGUUUGCUUUGCAAACCAAAGCUGGCGACCGGCGCACGGGUGAGUAACACGUAUCCAACCUGCCUCAUACGUCGGGGAUAGCCUUUCGAAAGAAAGAUUAAUAUCCGAUAGCAUAUAUUUCCCGCAUGGGUUUUAUAUUAAAGAAAUUCGGUAUGAGAUGGGGAUGCGUUCCAUUAGUUUGUUGGCGGGGUAACGGCCCACCAAGACUACGAUGGAUAGGGGUUCUGAGAGGAAGGUCCCCCACAUUGGAACUGAGACACGGUCCAAACUCCUACGGGAGGCAGCA
rnacentral:rRNA from 1 species